rnacentral:rRNA from 1 species
UACGUAGGUGGCAAGCGUUUGUCCGGAUUUACUGGGCGUAAAGAGCGCGCAGGCGGUCGUUCAAGUCGCGUGUGAAAGCCCCCGGCUCAACUGGGGAGGGUCACGCGAUACUGAUCGACUCGAAGGCAGGAGAGGGUAGUGGAAUUCCCGGUGUAGUGGUGAAAUGCGUAGAGAUCGGGAAGAACACCCGUGGCGAAGGCGGUGUGCUGGGUUGCAACGUGACGCUGAGAUGCGAAAGUGUGGGGAGCAAACGGGG